UUGAUCUUGUCUUCAUCUCUCUGCUCACGUUUGACUCCAUCAGAUGUCCUCAAUAAAACCCAGCAAAUGAAGAACAGAGCUCAAAACCACCAAGAACACUCAAGAACAUCAAGAACAGCUCAAGAACACAAAACCAGAUCUUUAAGAACAUGAAUAACACACUUCCACCCUUUUAGUAACCUGGCUCUGAUACCAUAUACACUUUUGUGUAUUAGAGUGUGUUUAAGAACAAUCAGAUUGUUUUGUGUAAGAUUAAAGAGAUUAAGAGAAUAAGUAGAGAGAGAAUAAGUAGAGAGAAUACUCAAAACUCCAUUAAUUGAUUUAAUGUCUCAGAUACAAGUUAUAUAUGAAGAGAUAAGGCUGAUACAAAGGGGAUUUCGAAAUGGGACUCAAAGCAUGUGAAGUCAAGGCUAGCUGGCUGCUGAGAGGCUUCACAUGCUUGGACAGGCUGUAAAGUAGCUUUACCUUUCCAGCUAUGACCAGACCUUAUCCAAACAGCUCCUCCCUUAUCCUGACUCCUCUUGGGCGUGCUUCUCCUCACCAAAGUGAUCCAAGGUAACUUCCUAACCCUUUAACAUAGUUACCACAGUAAAACUAAAGUUACUGUGGUAAAACUCCAAAGUUACUAUCUGUCCCAAUACUCUUCCUCUAUCAAUGUAUCCACUCUUUAUCACCUCAUCUCAACA
rnacentral:lncRNA from 1 species